rnacentral:rRNA from 1 species
UACGAAGGGGGCUAGCGUUGUUCGGAAUUACUGGGCGUAAAGCGUGCGCAGGCGGUUAUGUAAGACAGGUGUGAAAUCCCCGGGCUUAACCUGGGAACUGCAUUUGUGACUGCAUAGCUAGAGUACGGUAGAGGGGGAUGGAAUUCCGCGUGUAGCAGUGAAAUGCGUAGAUAUGCGGAGGAACACCGAUGGCGAAGGCAGCCCCCUGGGCCAAUACUGACGCUCAUGCACGAAAGCGUGGGGAGCAAACAGG